UCGUGCUGUUGUUGUUGCUGCCGCUACUGGUCGACUGCCUGUUGCUGCUCUGCUCUCAUUUGCCUAUGUUUGCUAUCCCGCUUGUUCUCGGCUGGACGUAAUAAGCUUACUGCAACUGUGUGGGUGCAUAUGAAGAGCGCUGCUCGCUCACACGCAUAUACAACAACAUCAAUAUCAAACACAACAACUACAUUCGUAUAGCUUUCGUGCUGUGCUGUUUACGACCAACCGACCGACCGACCAAGUAGUCAGCCAGCCAGGCAGGCAGACAGCAGCUGGGGCUGAUUUCAGUUUGAUUUUGUCAGUGGCCGCGUUCGGUUGUCGUCGGCGAGUUAACGGGACGCGCCUACCAAAAGCCGCUCAAAGCCCAGCUUUUACUUAAGUCUCGAGCCACAAAAACAGAGUCGAGCAGAUAAAAGAAGCAGCACUAAAAGUGUUUUUAUUUUUUAUUUUCUAAAUUCGUUUCGUUAAAUUCGUUUUUAGUUGUGUGAUUUAUACUAUUAUUUGUUCUGCGCGUUAUCAACGUUUUCAUGUAAAAGACACAAACAAAGCUGCAGCUGUUAUCAGAGCUGCAUUUGUAUGUAUGGAGUACAUUGUUCAUAAAUAAGUAACAGAAUCAACGUGUUGCCAUCUUAUCAGCUACGUAAAAAGAAAAACAA